AUUUAAGGGGCUCAGUUGGUAGAGUGCUUAUCUCUCAAGCACAAGGCCCUGGGUUCAGUCCCCAGCACCAAAAUG
rnacentral:tRNA from 1 species